AAUAUUGCGCAAUGGAGGGAACUCUGACGCAGCGACGCCGCGUGAGCGAUGAAGGUCUNCGGAUCNUNAAGCUCUGUCCUUGGGGNCAAAGGUCUUCGGACUUGACGGUACCUAAGGAGGAAGCCCCGGCUAACUACGUGCCAGCAGCCGCGGUAAUACGUAGGGGGCAAGCGUUGUCCGGAAUUAGUGGGCGUAAAGGGUGCGUAGGCGGCCUUUUAAGUCGGAUGUGAAAGCCCACGGCUUAACUGUGGGACUGCAUUUGAAACUGGAGGGCUUGAGUAUCGGAGAGGGUAGUGGAAUUCCCAGUGUAGCGGUGGAAUGCGUAGAUAUUGGGAGGAACACCAGUGGCGAAGGCGACUACCUGGACGAAAACUGACGCUGAGGCACGAAAGCUAGGGGAGCAAACA
rnacentral:rRNA from 1 species